rnacentral:piRNA from 1 species
UGCAUUAGUGAUCCAACUGCCUCUCGGUA